rnacentral:lncRNA from 1 species
UGAGGAGUAAUGCUUUUUUCUCUGCCAGGGUCUUAAUUGCACACAAACAAUAAAUAAAGAGCUUUGUUUGGGGCUUUUAACAUUUUUAUUUUAUGAGGUUUUAUAUGACUUCAGCACAGCCUCCAAAUGAGGCUGUAAUCCCUGCCAACAGAGCCAGGAGUGCAAUAGCUGUCUUCUGCGAGCAUAGACGUGGUCCUCGGCUCCAGCAUAUCAAAGUUCUUCACAUAUUUAUUCCGUGAAGUGGAGAAAUACCCUCUUUCAGAAGGAAACAGUAGCAAAAGAGGAUAAGGAACUUCACCAUUUUCCCAGAGGAAGCUUGUGAUGAAAAUCAUCUCUCAUCUGACAUCACGUCUUUAACCACCCACUCCUGAGGGUUUCAGAGCCCUUUGCAGGCUGGGCUGAAUUAAGCAGAUCCCUGGAAGUGGUUUGUUAUUUCUGACCUGCUUUCUCAGAUAGCGGACGAGCUGAGACGUGGGAAAAUAAGCGGGCAUGGUCAGCAGCGCUGCAGCAAGGGAGCUGCUGAGAUGCAGAGAACAGGACUAUCCAAAACCCAAGCAAACUGUGAGCUCUCCAACCCUCCCACACGGGCGUAAACAGUAAAACCAAUUUCCUUGGCCUUCCAUAGCAUCUCUCAACCAAGACAUUGCCCAAGACUCCGCAUGGUCUGGUGGCCAACACCUCUCUAUUGCAUCACUGUGCAGCUGGUGCCGGAAGAAUGAAACAUUUCAUCAGAAACCAAUUCCACUCCAUCUGGUUUUGACACCAGAAAGGGUUGAGAUCAUCCGGUGGAAGAUGCUAUGGAUGAGUGAAGUCUCUUUAUUGAAUUCCAUGGCCGUGGUAAUGCCAGUUCACUCCUUCCCUCUUGUCUCACAAAACAGCCCUGCAGUGGGGACCAGGCAUUGGUGUGCAGUGACCAUUCCACGGGGUGCUCCCAGAGGAAUUUUGGCCCUACUUUGUAUAGUUUUAGUUUCACAGAGUUAUUGAAUCAUUCAGAUUGGAGAAGACCUCUGAGAUCACCAAGUCCAACCCCAACCCAUCUCACCAUGCCCACUGACCACGUCCCUCAGUGCCACAUCUCCAUGGUUCUGGAACACCUCCAGGGAUGAUGACCCCACCACCUCCCUGGGCAGCUGUGCCAGUGCCUGUCUGCUCUGUUGGAGAAGAAACGUUCCUAAUAUGCAACCUGAAUCUUCGCUGUUGCAUCGUGAGGCCAUCACCUCUCAUCCUCAGCCUCUGCAUCCUCCAGUUUGCAUAUCAAGCAAAUCUUGGG